GAUUGAAACACCUGUUCCCGUACGAUCACCGAAGUUAAGCCUGGUCACCACCUAGAUGGGUGACCGCUUGGGAAUACAGGUACCGUAAG